rnacentral:rRNA from 1 species
GACGAACGCUGGCGGCGUGCUUAACACAUGCAAGUCGAGCGGAAAGGCCUCUUCGGGGGUACUCGAGCGGCGAACGGGUGAGUAACACGUGAGUAAUCUGCCCUUCACUCUGGGAUAGCCACCGGAAACGGUGAUUAAUACCGGAUACGACACGCGGCCGCAUGGUCUGUGUGUGGAAACUUUUUGGGUGGGGGAUGUGCUCGCGGCUUAUCAGCUUGUUGGUGGGGUAAUGGCCUACCAAGGCUUCGACGGGUAGCCGGCCUGAGAGGGUGACCGGCCACACUGGGACUGAGACACGGCCCAGACUCCUACGGGAGGCAGCAGUGGGGAAUAUUGGACAAUGGGCGGAAGCCUGAUCCAGCAACGCCGCGUGAGGGAUGACGGCCUUCGGGUUGUAAACCUCUUUCAGCACCGACGAGGCGAUCCUUUGGGGAGUGACGGUAGGUGCAGAAGAAGGACCGGCCAACUACGUGCCAGCCGCCGCCGUAAAAC